AACUCAUGACCUGCCCCCCUGAAGUUGACCUCGGGAGGAGUUCCCGGAGCGGCGGAGCAGUAGGAUCUCAGCACGCAGAACUAGGCGCAGCUGAAGCGGUUCACCCAUGGAAACGUAUGUGUGACGUCACAGCGAUUGACAUCAUACAUAGGAUUCGAGUACCUCAGCGAAUACCCUAAGGUCUGCAGCAAACGAGAAUAGUCUCAUCACUAAGACCCGUUAGAUUUUUUUUGUAGGGUGAGAGAAUCCACAUAUAAUCUGCUCUGAUUGACAAAACCUACCCCUAAACGGUUUAGAUCAUUUUACAGGAAUGUACAAUGCUACUCAAUUCGCACGAGAGACGUAAUGACGAGGUUCAUGAACCAAGGUAUAAAUUCCAGGCUCUACCACUUACCUUGGUAUCCCUGGGCGAGCCACUUAAACUUGGCUGGGUCUCUUUUUCCUCAUUUCAUAAUGAAAUAAUACAGAAUUCUUUUUUUUUUUAAUGGACAAAUCUGUUCAGUAUGCUAUGCUCACCACAAGCAUAGCAACCGUCUGUCCCCCUACAAUGCUCUUACAGUCCCGUUGACUGUAUCCUGGAGACCUACUCAUUCCAUAACUGGAAGCUCCCGCCCCUCUUCACCCCUUGUGCCUCUCCGAACCUCCCUCCUGCUGGCCGCCGGAAGUUUUCUCUGUGAUUAUGGGUGUAUUUCUGGUUUUGUUUGUUCGUUUGUUUUUUAGAUUUCAGGUGUGAGUAAAACCAUAUUGUAUUUGUCAUUUUCUGAUUUCCUUCAUUUAGCAUAAUAUCCUCUAGGUCCAUCCAUGUUGGAAAGGGCAAGAGCUCAUUCUUUUUCAUGACUAGCAUUACAUUACUGAAUAAUAUUCUAUAUAUUCUUUAUACAGUUUAUCAGUGGAUACUUGGGUUGCUUCCAUGCCUUGGCUAUUGUAAAAAUGAGUGGAAUGCUAUAUAAAGUAAAAAAUCGAUUAUAACUUUAUAAAUACUACUUAGAUGAAGAAAGAUUUAAAAACCCACAAAAUUCCAACUGAUGAUCGCCCAUUCAGACAUUGGUGAAUAUGUCCCUCAGUCCAAGCCGACCUUCCUCAUCAGAGUUAGUGGAACUUCAUGUUUUUUAUGUCCCUGAAGGAUCGUGGAAUUACAAGCUAAAUACCAUUUCAAUAGAAGUUGUUAACAAAUUCAUUUCAGCUGGAUUUAUAAGAGUAUCUCCUCAUCUUACUUUACAAGCCCUGAGAGAGCAACUUGGUGAGUUCCUUGGUGAAGAUGCUAUUGCAGAAAAAUUUUUAUUUCUGAAAUGCAUUGGAAAUAAUCUAGCUGUGGUGAAGGCAAAACAAGAAUCGGAACUGAAACUCAAAUCAUUUGCUCCUCCAUAUGCUCUUCAACCAGAAUUAUAUUUGCUUCCUAUAAUGGAUCAUUUAGGAAAUACUUAUUCAGCAUCAACUGUCUCUUUAGAUGGGCGGCAGACUAAUAAUGGUGUUGCUGAGGCUGAUGGAAUAAUCCACAGACCACUUAGUGUAACUCUGUUGAAGGAAGAACCUGGAACAGAUCCCAGUUUUUUAGUAAACACUUUGAAAGAGCUUCUUAACAAGAAUCAGGAAGAAGGAACAUCAGCUGGGGGAAAAGCUACUCCAAAAGAAAAACAGACUGGAAAAACUCAUACUGGAAAUUCUGAAGUUCCGGGACCAUUGGAAGAAUCCAGUAGUGAUUAUUUUAGCAACAAAAAAAGUCCAUUUCUUUGGAAAAAUGAAGAUGAUAGAGUUAAUCUCAUUAGAACAGAGGACAAUCAGAUAGGUAAAAAAGAAUGCAUCAUCCUACCAGAUCUUAUUGAUUUUCCUUCACUUCCUGGUCAUCCUGCUCUUUCUCCAGGAAUAACUGAUAUCUCUUCAUUACAGAUUGAAAGAGAGAAGAUUAUUGAACAAAUGAAACAAGUGAAGAAAGAAAGAAGAUACCUGGAAAGAACUAGAGAAGAACAAAUAAAAAAAGUUGAAAAGCUAUUUGAACAAAGUAAAUUGAAGCGAUACCAUGCCUGUGAUGGUUGGAAGAAAAAGUACUUUGAAACAAAGAAAAUCACAGCAUCAUUAGAGGAAGUUUUAAGAAAACUUCAAGAAGAUUUGGAACUUUACUAUAAAAAAUUGCUCAUGCAACUUGAAGCCAGGGAGAUCAAGAUGAGACCAAAGAAUUUGGCAAACAUUACAGACUCUAAGAAUUACCUUAUAAUCCAGAUCACUGAAGUACAGCAUGCAAUUGACCAACUUAAGAGAAAACUGGAUACUGAUAAAAUGAAACUCAUAAUAGAAGUUAAGAUGAGGAAACAAGUAGUUUCAGAUUUACGCACAUUGAAAGCUGAACUGGCACAGAAGAAAAUUGACACAUCCUUACCAUCUAUCUCAAUUAGUUCCUGGAAAUGUGCUUAGUUAGGAGCUCAGCAGAUGAUUUUGUGUAUGAUGUAUCAACCAAAUCAAAAGGGAGCAUUGGCUGCUGCAAUACAUUCUGACAAGGCCAGACUUCGUUCAUCAUAAGACAUCACAAAGAGAAAGUCACAAGCAUCUGCAAUUCCAGUAUAAUUAUAGCACCUGUUUUUGCUCUUUGGAGACCAAGAUACAUCAAAGGUUACCUGUGGAAAACCAUGCCAUUUUAUGUAAUAUCAAAUAUGCUUAUUAUAUCA